CAAAUACUCCCUCCGUCCGGAAAUACUUGUCAUCAAAAUAGAUAAAAGGAAAUGUAUCUAGACGUAUUUUAGUUUUAGAUACAUCUCAUUUUAUCCAUUUUGAUGACAAGUAUUUUCGGACGGAGGGAGUAUUUA
rnacentral:pre_miRNA from 1 species